rnacentral:rRNA from 1 species
CCUACGGGUGGCUGCAGUGAGGAAUAUUGGUCAAUGGGCGCGAGCCUGAACCAGCCAAGUCGCGUGAGGGAUGACGGUCCUACGGAUUGUAAACCUCUUUUGCCGGGGAGCAAGCGUGCGUUCGUGAACGCGCGUCGAGAGUACCCGGAGAAAAAGCAUCGGCUAACUCCGUGCCAGCAGCCGCGGUAAUACGGAGGAUGCGAGCGUUAUCCGGAUUUAUUGGGUUUAAAGGGUGCGUAGGCGGGAUGCCAAGUCAGCGGUAAAAAUGCGGUGCUCAACCCCGUACUGCCGUUGAAACUGCAUCCCUUGAGUGCGCGAGAAGUAUGCGGAAUGCGUGGUGUAGCGGUGAAAUGCAUAGAUAUCACGCAGAACUCCGAUUGCGAAGGCAGCAUACCGGCGCGCAACUGACGCUCAUGCACGAAAGCGUGGGUAUCGAACAGGAUUAGAUACCCUAGUAGUC